AAUACUCAGGACAACGAUAAAACAAACCUCUUUCUUCGAGAGCCUCAAGCUUUCAGGAACCUCGAUGAAGAUCUCCCUAAACCUCCCUUGGACCAACCACGUAUUUGUUGAAUCAGGCCAUGGCACAUUACCCUAUUUUGCUUGGUAUUCUUCAAGAUCCCACAAAACACGAAUUUUAUGUUAUUAUUCCCUCUUUUAGAAAUCAGCCAUGAGUAGUACAGACUACAGAGAGAUGAACAUGUAAGAUACCAAAUUUUCUUGAUCGGAUAUCCAGAAUUAAUCUGAUUUGUCGGCAAUUAAUGAUAAUGGGUUACUUUCCUUCAUCAUAAAUUCGUGGGAAUAGGGAGUAAUGGGUGAAGAAUUCCAACAAUGUAGAGGAGGUGCACGAAGCCACAAACCUGUCGUAGACCGUAGUUCCUCCACGGUAUCCUGACCAACAGCGGCGGCUGACCGAUCUAAUUUGAACUGCCGUUAGUACACAUCCGUCCACAACAUCGGCAAUUGCAGUCUGAUCGGGACAUGGAUACUGAGAUAGAUAGAACCUCCUCAACUUCAUCAGCCAACAUGGAUUGCAACAUGCUUGGGACAGAGAGGAAAUUCAAUGGCUGGAGAGGAAGAGAUCGGGGAUAUUUG
rnacentral:lncRNA from 1 species